UGAUACAUGGUUAGUGUGAAUUUCUAGGAA
rnacentral:piRNA from 1 species